AGAUGCUAGUACCACCCGACGGCUACGUCCAUCGCCCCAUUGAUGGCCAGGGUUGACUGCUGAUGACUGGCAGGCGGUGUCCCGUUCCUCCCUCUCCUCUCCAUGUGUGUCCCCCUGAAGCUGCAUGCUCGGUCGACAAGGACGACCACCGCAGAGGAGGAGGACCGCUCCUCCGAGUAGCUGAGCUCCCGGGAUAGAACCCCAAACAAGCUCUCAGAAAAAUAUGGUGAAAAUAGUCUCACAUUUUUCUACUUCUUGGUAAAUGGUUGAUGUGUUAAAGA
rnacentral:snRNA from 1 species